UGAGUUAUGUCAUGUUAUCGAUAUGUGAAUACAUAGCAUAUCAGAAGGCACACCCGGAGAACUGAAACAUCUUAGUACCCGGAGGAAGAGAAAGAAAAUUCGAUUCCCUUAGUAGCGGCGAGCGAAAUGGGAAGAGCCCAAACCAACAAGCUUGCUUGUUGGGGUUGUAGGACACUCUAUACGGAGUUACAAAGGACGACAUUAGACGAAUCAUCUGGAAAGAUGAAUCAAAGAAGGUAAUAAUCCUGUAGUCGA
rnacentral:rRNA from 1 species